UCAGUUACUGCUGAAGAACACAGAGGCUUUCUAUUGUUCCUGUUACGAGAGAUUUGGAAACCUGCUGAUUUUUGUUAUGGGCCUGUGAAGGGUGAUGUGGACAAGGACGGUAAUGUGCCUAUGUGGGGCUCGGAUUCAGUUACUCAUUUUAACAUACUAAACUAUCUUGGCCUUAUGAACAAAAAAGGCUUGUACUUCUUGUUCCAGCCUACCAACCCGAAUUUGAACCUAGACGAUGUUAACAAUCAACGAAAUAUUAUUCCAUUCUAUGUCGGUAUAACAGGAGAUUCCUUUCAACAUCGCUUUAAAAACAAACACGCUGCAUUGAAAAACGUUCGAAAAAAUGAGAUCGUUGGCUACUUCGUCGAGAUGCCUCUGCAUAUGGCUAAGUUUUACGAGUCACUGUUGUUGUCCUUGUUUGAUUUCGCCGAGAAUACGGCGGAAAAUGGUAUAAGUAGAUUAAUCGACCUGAGUAUCAAUUACAAGAGGUCAGUUGCGGACGGAAUUUCCAUCUUUAUAGAAGAAUACGACAAGACCAACAAGUAUUUCGUGGUCAUGAAAAAAACUAUAUCAAGCAUCGCUGAUACUUACAAGCCUGUACGCCAAAUGAAGUACUACGAGUAAACUUCAAAUUUAAUUAAACUCAUUAUGAGUUAAAUUAAAUUUGAAGAUCUCAGUAUAGACAAUUAGAAGGUAGAGGCAGUGAUACCUUUACAACUUUUACGUACUUUUCCUUGCUUUAGAAAUGAUUUUUGUGUAAAAUUUAAUUACGUAAAUCAAAUGAAAAUCAUUGUCAGCUUUAAAGAAAUACUAAAUAAAACAUAAUCCAAAAAUGACGCCAAGAUGUGAGGCAAAUUCAAGACAAAACUGAAUGAAUU